AAAUAGAUUAAAAUAAUUAAGGGCACACAAAGGAUGCCUUGGUAGUAAGAGCCGAUGAAGGACGUGGUAAGCUGCGAUAAGCCUAGAUAAGUUGCAAUCGAACGUAAGAGUCUAGGAUUUCCGAAUGGAGCAAUCUAUUAAGAUGGAGUCUUAAUACGAAAGAGGGAACCGCGUGAACUGAAACAUCUAAGUAACGCGAGGAAAAGAAAGUAAAAACGAUACCCGAAGUAGCGGCGAGCGAAACGGGUCAAGCCUAAACCUUAAAUAUGUCAAGGAUACAGCCGUUGUAUUUAAGGGGUUGAGGGACAGAGUGAUGAAGAACUGUAAGAUAUUCAAUAUAGUGUAUUGAUGAACUAGAAUAGUCUGGAAAGGUUAACCGUAGAAGGUGAAAGUCCUGUAUAGGUAAAUCCUUACACAUAUAACUUUGAUCCCAAGUAACAUGGAACACGAGGAAUUCUGUGUGAAUCAGUGAGGACCAUAUCUCAUAAGGCUAAAUACUCUUACUAACCGAUAGCGCAUAGUACCGUGAGGGAAAGGUGAAAAGAACCCCUGGAGGGGAGUGAAAUAGAACCUGAAAUUGUGUGCUUACAAGCGGUCAGAGCCAGUAAUGGUGAUGGCGUGCCUUUUGGAGAAUGAUCCUGCGAGUUACGUUAAACGGCGAGGUUAAGUAUUACGGAGCCGAAGGGAAACCAAGUCUUAAUAGGGCGAUUUAGUCGUUUGGCGUAGACGCGAAACCUGGUGAUCUAAACCUGUCCAGGAUGAAGCUGUGGUAAGACACAGUGGAGGUCCUAACCCACCGCCGUUGAAAAGUUGGGGGAUGAGGUAGGUUUAGGGGUGAAAAGCCAAUCGAACCAGGAGAUAGCUCGUUCUCUCCGAAAUGCAUCUAGGUGCAGCCUUGAGUGUUCAAUUAUGGGGGUAGAGCACUGAAUGAUCUAGGGGGCAUAUUGCUUACUGAAAUCAAUCAAACUCCGAAUACCAUAAUUUAUAGCUCAGGAGUGAGACUAUGGGAGUUAACUUCCAUUGUCAAAAGGGAAACAACCCAGACCACCAGCUAAGGUCCCUAAUUAUAACUAAGUGGGAAAGGAGGUGGAGAUUCACAAACAACUAGGAGGUUGGCUUAGAAGCAGCCAUACCUUUAAAGAGUGCGUAAUAGCUCACUAGUCGAGAGUCUCUGCGCCGACAAUGUAACGGGGCUAAGUUAUAAACCGAAGCUGUGGAAUCCGUAAGGAUUGGUAGGAGAGCGUUCUGUAGGCCGUUGAAGGAGAAGGGUAACCGACUUUGGAGGUAUCAGAAGUGAGAAUGCAGGAAUAAGUAGCGAGAAAGGGGGCGAGAAUCCCCCUCGCCGGAAGACCAAGGUUUUCAGGGUAAAGCUUGUCUUCCCUGAGUAAGCCGGGACCUAAGCCCAGGCUAUAAUGCGUAGGCGAAUGGAAAACAGAUUAAUAUUUCUGUGCCAGUCAUAUAUUGUGAUGGAGGGACGCAGAAGGGUAUGCGCGCGGACGAACGGAAGUGUCCGUAGAAGUAUGUAGGAUGACUUAGUAGGAAAAUCCAUUAAGUUAUAUCUGAGGUAUGAUAUAUAGUCGUAAGAUGAAUGCGCAAAUCCCACGCUGCCAAGAAAAGCUUCUAAUGUUAAUUUAUGACUGCCCGUACUGCAAACCGACACAGGUGGUCAGGAUGAGAAAUCUAAGGCGGACAGGCUAACUCUCGUUAAGGAACUCUGCAAAAUAACCUCGUAACUUCGGGAGAAGAGGAGCCCUUGGGUGUUAGUAUCCACGCGAUACAAAGCGCUCGAGGGUCGCAGUGAAGAGGCUCAAGCAACUGUUUAACAAAAACACAGGUCUAUGCUAAGCUGGAAGGCGAUGUAUAUGGGCUGACACCUGCCCAGUGCUGGAAGGUUAAGAGGAGGAGUGAGAGCUCCGAAUUGAAGCCCCAGUGAACGGCGGCCGUAACUAUAACGGUCCUAAGGUAGCGAAAUUCCUUGUCGGGUAAGUUCCGACCUGCACGAAUGGUGUAAUGAUUUGAGCGCUGUCUUGACGGGAGGCCUGGUGAAAUUGUAUUACCGGUGAAGAUACCGGUUACCUACAGUAGGACGGAAAGACCCCAUGGAGCUUUACUGUAGCUUGGUAUUGGGUUUUGGCAUUGCAUGUAUAGGAUAGUUGGGAGACUGAGAUGAUAUGGCGCUAGCUGUAUCGGAGUCAUCGGUGGAAUACCAACCAUUCAAUGCUGAAAUUCUAAUCUGUGGUUUGUAGCCACAGAGACAGUGCUAGGUGGGCAGUUUGACUGGGGCGGUCGCCUCCGAAAGAGUAACGGAGGCGUUCAAAGGUUCUCUCAGGUUGGAUGGAAAUCAACCAUAGAGUGCAAUGGCAUAAGAGAGCUUGACUGCAAGACUGACGGGUCGAGCAGAUGCGAAAGCAGGACAUAGUGAUCCGGCGAUUCCGAAUGGAAGGGUCGUCGCUCAACGGAUAAAAGCUACCCUGGGGAUAACAGGCUGAUCCUACCCGAGAGUCCAUAUCGACGGUAGGGUUUGGCACCUCGAUGUCGGCUCAUCGCAUCCUGGGGCUGGAGAAGGUCCCAAGGGUUGGGCUGUUCGCCCAUUAAAGCGGUACGUGAGCUGGGUUCAGAACGUCGUGAGACAGUUCGGUCCCUAUCCACUGUAGGCGUUAGAAUAUUGAGAAGACCUGUCCUUAGUACGAGAGGACCGGGAUGGACAAACCUCUGAUGUACCAGUUGUCACGCCAGUGGCACAGCUGGGUAGUCACGUUUGGAAUAGAUAACCGCUGAAAGCAUCUAAGCGGGAAACUAACUUCAAGAUAAGUAUUCUUUAAGAUACCUUCGAGCCUAGGAGGUUGAUAGGUUGGGGGUGUAAGUACAGCAAUGUAUUUAGCUGACCAAUACUAAUUAUCGAAGUUUUAAUCUAAUUUGUUUUUACUAUAUAGUUUC
rnacentral:rRNA from 1 species